rnacentral:lncRNA from 1 species
GCAGCUGCGGGCUGACGGGUGACCUCCGGCUCUGCGGCUGCUGCGGCGCUGCCGGCGGCGGCUGCUGUUGAGGAGUCUAGCUGGCAGCCCAAAGAUGUGACUGAGAACUGGCCGUGUAAGAACAGCAGAGCUUCCUGGGGGAAACAGGCCUCUUUUUUUCCUGAGGGGGGGAAAAAAGAUAUGCUAGAGCUCCAAUGUUCUGGCAAAUUCAAGGAAACCAGCUAUCAGUUGUUUGGGGGAAAACAACAACAGCAGCAGCAGCAGCAACAAACCUGUCUGUAGUAAAUUACAUGUGGGGACAAAGCCCACUAACUCCCAAGGCUGCCGCCCUCCCUGCGCCCCACCCUGCUGCCAUCCUAAGGUAAUGUCAGAGACCUGUAGUAUCUAUGUCACCCUAUGCAGGACAAAGAAUAAGCAAGCAAGCAAGUAAGUAAUUCCGUACCUAGGUGUGGCUCCUCUUGCAAACCCUGGAAUCUAGCACAGUAGUAUCUUCAGUGAGGAAAACACAGAUAUUUCUCAUCUUAUAGAACUACAUCCCCUUCGCCCCUGGCAAACAACAACAACAACAACAACAACAACAACAACAACAACAACAACAACAAAACA